UCUCUGUUAGUAUAUCGGUUAGUACACGCGCCUGUCAUCCAUUGUGAAAGCGUGGAUAAACCGACGGCGUGAAGGCGUGGGUUCAACUCCCCGACAGAGAA
rfam:Agaricus bisporus var. burnettii JB137-S8 unplaced genomic scaffold AGABI1scaffold_1, whole genome shotgun sequence.